rnacentral:rRNA from 1 species
CCUACGGGGGGCAGCAGUGGGGAAUAUUGGACAAUGGGCGAAAGCCUGAUCCAGCCAUGCCGCGUGUGUGAAGAAGGCCUUCGGGUUGUAAAGCACUUUCAGUGGGGAAGAAAGCCUUGGGGCUAAUACCCUCGAGGAAGGACAUCACCCACAGAAGAAGCACCGGCUAACUCCGUGCCAGCAGCCGCGGUAAUACGGAGGGUGCGAGCGUUAAUCGGAAUUACUGGGCGUAAAGCGCGCGUAGGCGGUCUGAUAAGCCGGUUGUGAAAGCCCCGGGCUCAACCUGGGAACGGCAUCCGGAACUGUCAGGCUAGAGUGCAGGAGAGGAAGGUAGAAUUCCCGGUGUAGCGGUGAAAUGCGUAGAGAUCGGGAGGAAUACCAGUGGCGAAGGCGGCCAUCUGGACUGACACUGACGCUGAGGUGCGAAAGCGUGGGUAGCAAACAGGAUUAGAUACCCUGGUAGUC